rnacentral:rRNA from 1 species
UACGAAGGGGGGCUAGCGUUGCUCGGAAUUACUGGGCGUAAAGGGCGCGUAGGCGGAUGAUUAAGUCGAGGGUGAAAGCCCGGGGCUCAACCUCGGAACUGCCUUUGAUACUGGGUGUCUCGAGUCCGGAAGAGGUGAGUGGAAUUCCGAGUGUAGAGGUGAAAUUCGUAGAUAUUCGGAGGAACACCAGUGGCGAAGGCGGCUCACUGGUCCGGUACUGACGCUGAGGUGCGAAAGCGUGGGGAGCAAACAGG